GCCAAGGUGUCUUAGUGGGUAACGCCCCUGUCUAGUAAGCAGGAGACCCGGGUUCGAUUCCCGGCCUUGGCA